AGGAGUCUGGGCUGUGGAGUGCCCUUUCAACCCUAGAUUCUACAAGUCUGGGAGCUUCUGCAAAUAUUCCUGUAUUUGGAUGGAACACAAUUGAAAUCCCUUCCAGAAUGUCAAGUGCCCCCACCAGAGGACCUGCCCCAGGAUCCCAGGCAUGCUCGUGCCCUAGCUGGAGAACUGAGGUUGGAUAGGAGCUGGAGCUAGAAGAGAGGCUGAGUCUAAAGGGAAGCGAUUAUAGAGAUCUCAUGGAGACUCAGUGGAACACAAGAGGGGAAACUCCAUUGGCCUCAGAAAGCCUCAGUGAACUAGAACUUGGAACGCAUCAAUUAUAAGAUCUUUGGUCUUGUGUGAUGCCUGCAAUGUGAUGGGUAGAGCA
rnacentral:lncRNA from 1 species